GCUGGAGUAGCUCAGUAGGUAGAGCACAUCACUCGUAAUGAUGAGGUCGUGAGUUCGAUCCUCAUCUCCAGCU
rnacentral:tRNA from 1 species